rnacentral:lncRNA from 1 species
UGUUGGCUACAUUUUGGUUUUUUGUUUUGUUGUUUUCGUGAGAUCUGAAAUGAGUAUGAAUAGUUUAAUUCAAAUACCACAAAGUGUAUGUUAUAUUCCUCCACAAACAUGAACCCUUCCUUUUCUUUUUCCCCUUUUAUGGCCUGCUUUUUAACCACAGAGGUUUUCUGAUUUAUGCAUAGUUUUAUGGGUUCCACUGGUUUCUAAAUCCAGAGGUGGUGGUUUUUCUGUUGUUGUUGUUGUUAAUGAGUUCAGUUUCUCAUUGAACUUGUUAGAAGAGAGGUUUCGUCAAAUAAGGGCUGAGUAGAUGCAGGCAAGCUUGGAGAGGCAGUCCACAUGGUGUGGGCGAGGGCAGAGGUGGCACUGCCAGGCUAGUCACCAGAUGAAGUAA